AGUGAACGCUGGCGGUAGGCCUAACACAUGCAAGUCGAACGGCAGCACAGUAAGAGCUUGCUCUUACGGGUGGCGAGUGGCGGACGGGUGAGGAAUACAUCGGAAUCUACUUUUUCGUGGGGGAUAACGUAGGGAAACUUACGCUAAUACCGCAUACGACCUACGGGUGAAAGCAGGGGAUCUUCGGACCUUGCUCGAUUGAAUGAGCCGAUGUCGGAUUAGCUAGUUUGCGGGGUAAAGGCCCACCAAGGCGACGAUCCGUAGCUGGUCUGAGAGGAUGAUCAGCCACACUGGAACUGAGACACGGUCCAGACUCCUACGGGAGGCAGCAGUGGGGAAUAUUGGACAAUGGGCGGAAGCCUGAGCCAGCCAUACCGCGUGGGUGAAGAAGGCCUUCGGAUUGUAAAGCCCUUUUGUUGGGAAAGAAAAGCAGAAGGUGAAUACCCCGCUGUUCUGACGGUACCCAAAGAAUAAGCACCGGCUAACUUCGUG
rnacentral:rRNA from 1 species